rnacentral:misc_RNA from 1 species
GAAGUGCGAUAAGCAAUGCGAAUUGCAGAAUUCCGCGAGUCAUCAGAUCUUUGAACGCAAAUGGCGCCGGAGGGAUAUCCUUCUGGCAUGUCUGUUUCAGUGUCUGAGAGGUUUCACCAACAUCUUAAUGUGAUUGACAGCAGCAGCAGCAGCAAGCAAUUGCUGUGGUUGGUGUUGUCUCUCAUGAAAGAUGCGCGAGUGGAUCUUUCGGUCCAAUGAAGUGGUCACAUCACUCGUAUGUGAUUUCAUUGGGAGCACCGAAUUAUCCGCCAUGCUCGCGGUGUCAUCAUAUAAUAUAUGACGAAAGCAAGAAAGAAAGAAAGAGCUUCUUUCUUCUUCUUCUUCUUUGGUUGUAUUUUUUUUCUCUCUCUACACCCUGCAUCUGAGAUAGGCAAGAUCACCCGCUGAACUUAAGC